UUUAGCUUUUAUAUCGAAACUACAACUAAAGGCUUUGACUGCGCGAACAACGAAGUCACAUAACUGUAAAGUAUUGAUGACUGAGGCAGACGGUUGGUGGUGCUGUGCGCCUGCUCUGCUGAAGUUGCAACUUCCGUGCGGCAAAAACGUACAAAUAAUUACAAAUUGGAUGACGAAUGAAUUUUAAUUGCUGACACAGAAACUCGGCAAAUAACCGCGGGCCAAAGAUGGCAAUGACCAGCAAACGCGGGGGCCUGCAUUAUGGGCGCGCUACCUCUACAAAGCGUAUGCCUGGCGCGUUACCCGAGCAAUGCAGUUGGAACUCGAAUACUUGUUGCCCACAAUAAGUAGCCUGUUGGAGACUUUUUUGUGGAAUAUUUGUUGUAUAAUGGUGGCCGGAAUGCGACGACUGUAUAAUUAAUAUUUAAUGGACCAUAGACCCAACUGUAUUCAUUAGGUUUCUUAUAUUUAAAGCGAAUUAAAAAAGUAUCGCAGGCUGUGGCGGAAUUUUCAGACAGCUUGUGGUGAUAUAGUUGCAAAAAGUUUCAAUGAUGACUUGCAAAUAGGAUAAUAGAAGGAGGAACAAUAACAACAGACUUUAUUCUCGGUCAGCCAAAGAAUACAUUAUUCUUUUCUUUUCUAAAAUAUGAUUAAUGGCAUUCUGGCAGUGGCAUCAAGCUUUCUUAAGAAGUAGCGGUUACCAAAGAAUGAGCAUACAGUAAGAAAAAACAAUCACAGCAUCAACUCAUCCCAAACGGGUUUUGCACAUCAUGAAAAAUAAUUAAAAUUUAAUAUUUUUGUAAAGAAUUAUAUACAUGGCUUUCACUUUUCAUUAAAAGAGAAAGCUUAAAAUACAACAAUUUCGAAAAAUUA